GUGUCACCAGGAGUUCCCUUCAAGCAUUUCAUAAGGUCUUGGCUUAAGGGCUCUUGUGAAGUGUUUGGGGAACUCUCGGCGUCAC
rnacentral:pre_miRNA from 1 species